AGUUUGAUCCUGGCUCAGAACGAACGCUGGCGGCGCGCCUAAUACAUGCAAGUCGAGCGAGAAGGUGUAGCAAUACACUUGUAAAGCGGCGAACGGGUGAGGAAUACAUGGGUAACCUACCAUUGAGUGGGGAAUAACCAGCCGAAAGGUUGGCUAAUACCGCGUACGCCUCCGGGUUUUCGGAUCCGGAGGGAAAGCCACGCUGUGAGCGUGGCGCUCUUUGAUGGGCUCAUGUCCUAUCAGCUUGUUGGUAGGGUAACGGCCUACCAAGGCUUUGACGGGUAGCUGGUCUGGGAGGACGAUCAGCCACACUGGCACUGCGACACGGGCCAGACUCCUACGGGAGGCAGCAGUAAGGAAUAUUGCGCAAUGGGCGAAAGCCUGACGCAGCGACGCCGCGUGGGGGAUGAAGGUCUUCGGAUUGUAAACCCCUUUCGGGAGGGAAGAUGGAGCGAGCAAUCGUUCGGACGGUACCUCCAGAAGCAGCCACGG
rnacentral:rRNA from 1 species